rnacentral:ncRNA from 1 species
AUAUUGCCAAAAAACCAACAGCCUUUGAAAAAAUGAUUGGUUCAGAGUUUGGAAAGCAUUAAGCAACAUUUUUUUGUAAAUUUUUUGAUUAUACCUACUUUCGUUUGCUGUAAUUGCUGUGUGUGCUGUCGAUAAUAGAAUUUUUGCUGCUCUACUAUUUACAACAAUCUUUGAUCAAAAUACUGUGCUAAUUGGGAGAUAAUUACUGGUGAGAUAGUAACUUUUCGAAUCGCAUGACUUUACGUCGGCGAUGGUUCAUUCAAAUUUCUGCCCUAUCAAGUUUCGAUGGUAGGAUAGAGGCCUACCAUGCUUUUUACGGGUAACGGCGAAUUAGGGUUCGAUUCCGGAGAGGGAGCCUGAGAAACGGCUACCACAUCUAAGGAAGGCAGCAGGCGCGCAAAUUACCCAAUCCUGAUUCAGGGAGGUAGUGACAAUAAAUAACAAUCCAGGGCUUUUGUCUUGGAAUUGGAAUGAGAACAAUUUAAAUCUCUUAACGAGGAACAAUUGGAGGGCAAGUCUGGUGCCAGCAGCCGCGGUAAUUCCAGCUCCAAU